rnacentral:rRNA from 1 species
GUUGAAGGUUGGGUAACACUAACUGGAGGACCGAACCGACUAAUGUUGAAAAAUUAGCGGAUGACUUGUGGCUGGGGGUGAAAGGCCAAUCAAACCGGGAGAUAGCUGGUUCUCCCCGAAAGCUAUUUAGGUAGCGCCUCGUGAACUCAUCUUCGGGGGUAGAGCACUGUUUCGGCUAGGGGGCCAUCCCGGCUUACCAACCCGAUGCAAACUACGAAUACCGAAGAAUGUUAUCACGGGAGACACACGGCGGGUGCUAACGUCCGUCGUGAAGAGGGAAACAACCCAGACCGCCAGCUAAGGUCCCAAAGUCAUGGUUAAGUGGGAAACGAUGUGGGAAGGCACAGACAGCCAGGAUGUUGGCUUAGAAGCAGCCAUCAUUUAAAGAAAGCGUAAUAGCUCACUGGUCGAGUCGGCCUGCGCGGAAGAUGUAACGGGGCUAAACCAUGC